rnacentral:miRNA from 12 species
UAUCCAACCUUACUUCCCACU